rnacentral:misc_RNA from 1 species
GCUUGAUAGAUACUUUAUCUUGUAGACUAAAUUUUGCCUUCUUGUAUAUUUGCUUAAACUGGAGCUUUUUUCUCUUAUUGCUUCUUCAAUGCACUGUUCCGUAUAUUACAAGAUGCUUUCCUCUGCUGGUUCUUCAUCACACUGUUCUUUUUAUGACAAAAGGUUUAUCUGUGCAGUUAAGUUUUACGUUUUGAAUAUUUUAUGCACUGACAAUAACGAGUUUGAGGGGUUCUUUUCUCUUCUUUUGUGUAUAAUACACUCUGUAUAUGUUCUUUUUU